AGUUCUUUGAUGCUACAUUCUUCUCUAGCCAGAAAUACAAGGAAACCACUGUUUGCUGUGGCAUUUUGGCAGAACUCUGAAGUGUGGUCUGGAUCUGGGAACUCACAAUCCAAGAAUAAGGCACCAUUUACGUACAAAAUUGUUGAAUUUGGAUGGAAACUAGGUUCAGCCAUAUUUGUGAAGCCACUGUCUUGCAGGGUCAAAAAGAGCUUAUUUUUCAAAUUAUCCUCUACUGCUUAUGUCUUCAGUCUUUCUCCCUCUGCCUCCUGCUGCCACCUGCUCCCACCUGGGGGACCUGCCUCCCUGCAGAAAGCAAGCAUCCUGCUCUGGGCCAUGUGGUAGCUUAGUGGUAAAGACUCUCUCCCUGGAGGUGGGACCUGUGGUUUCUGGGCAAGAACUGUGACGGAUGAUCAAGUGAAUGGACCUUUUGUCAUGGAGCUGUCCUGAAGCUCAGAUCAGCACUGCCUGGGUUCAUGAUGUAUCUCUCUUGCUGACAGUACACAAAUUCAUGGUCUAGUCAGGAUUAAUUUCUCCAGGAUAAUGUCACAACUACACAAGUUUUGCAUCUUCUAUUGUCUGGAUCUAUGUGAAUAUAAAGUAAUAAGUAACCGCAUCAUAUCCUGGAGUAAAGGAAGACUUUGCAAGUCACACAUAGACUUCUAGCUGAAUCUUUAUAAAGUUGGUGGCUGAAGGUCAGAUCUGUUUAUACAGAAGGUACAUUUCUCUGUAAAAACCUUGCUCUUAACCUCUGUACUAUCUAUCAAUCACAUGAUCAAGCUGCUAAUUCAUCAGGACCGUGUCUAUCUUUCACAUGAUGCUCAAAUCUAGGGUUCCAUUUUUUGAGUCAAAGUUGAGUUCACAUCUCUUCUUUUCUACUUGCUGUGUCAUUGUGAACAAAUUACUUAAGUUGUAUAGGAUUAGAUUUACUUAUCUAUAAAAUGGAGAUAAUAGUAGUACCAACUCCCUAGGUUGUUAUCAGGAUUAAAUGAGAUAAUGCAUGCAUAAUGCUUAGCACAGUACCGGGGGGCAGGAUGCCUCUAAUAAAUGAUAGCUGUUGCUUUUAUAACUUGUAGCAAUAGGCCUGUCUGUCUCAGUGAUCAAAAGGUUUUUAGGUAAUUGUUUUAAGCUACUUUUAACCACAUUUUUCAUGUAACACCUUAUUUUUCAUGUAAUCCUUGAUAAAGCCUCAUGGAUUUUUCCUGCAAAUAUGUCUUCUUGUAAUAUUUGUUUAUUCAGUGGGAUUAGUCAAUCAAUAUGGCCAUUAUUUCUGAUUUUUCUUUCUCUUAGGCUUAGCAUAGUGUUUUUUUUUUUUUUUUCAGGCCUUGGUCCUGCUGGUUCGUGAUAAUAUGCAUGACUUUCUAAACUUCAUCUUUGUCUAUUUUUUUUUGACAAAGUUUUUCAUAGCAACAGCUGGAAUAAUACCACAUAGCUCAAACAGAAAGUCUCAGGCUUCAUUAUUUCCCCACAAUCACCAUGUGACAAUUUGAAUCUCUGUAAGGCAGAGCUUUGGGGAAGAUUAGAAACUGAAAUGAAAGGCAAGUUUCUAGCUGGAAUUUAGAUCAAAGAAGAUAUUGUCCUGGUAGGCUUGCUGUGUACAAGAGAGAGCCAUGGGCUCAUUGACCAGCUUGACCACAAUAAUUCUUAAAGACUCUUCAAUGAUACUUUGCAGUUUAUACUGGUAUAUGUUAUUAAAGGAUUGUACAUC